GUGUUUCCUCUCUGGCCAUUGCCAUCCGCCCAAAUCUACAGACAUCCCGCAUGUUCCCGGGCUCGUCUCCCCAAUACAGGGCACCAAGCAUCCUACCAAGGCGAAUCCAUUGACCAGGAUUUAAGUUGAGACUCCCCCAGGACCCCGGGUGCAGCAUCUGGGUCCCCCUGCCCCGCCCUGCCUUGCGCCGCAGCCGCUUCCGUUGUCCUGCCAGGCUGUAGACUGCGCAGCCCUCCUGGAGACAGAUGGAAGCUCCUUGGGUCGACAGAUUACAGCUUCUGGAACCCCCUACUCCCUUCAACUCCGAGAUGGACACCCACUGUCCAGGGAGAGGAUGCCUGGAAAUAACAGCUGGGAUCUACAGUGGCCAAAGAGUUGUCUCCGUCUUGCUACAUCGACAAACUGGUGCUCCUGACCACUUCGGAAGCGUUUUCCUCUCCACUCUGACAACAGGCAAGAGUGAGGGUCCAACAAUACAGAGGAAGUAACGUGUCGCUGCUACUCUUCCAUGCCCAGUGCCAGGAGCGACGGUACACUCCAGAGUGCUGUGCCCUGAUGGGCCUUUGAGUGGCCAGUGCAGUGGAUCAUCAGCCCUGUCUCCCAAGAGCUCCAGUCCCUUCUCCGGAGAGGAAGUGGGUCCACUGGCAGCUCAGGAGGCCAUAGCAGAUUGUGGGGCUCUGUGCAGUUGAUGUUAGUUAACCACUGGAUCCACGUGUUCACCGUGGCUUGCGCCCCUGCAUCCGAAAGUGAUCUUGGCUGCCGUGUCCUGGUCAUUGGUAGUGCAGGGAAAGGAUGCGGAAAGACGGGCUCCGAGCUCGGGGCGUCUGGCCUGGAGCUUUCCUACACUUGUGUCUUGCUCUGCAGCCUUACGGAAGUGUGGGUGGCGCUUUCUGGAAGCUGCACAAGUCAGUGCUGGGUCUUCGCAACUUGGUGUUCUGUUUCCAGAAACUUGGGGUGUUUGCAUGUGCUAGGUCAGCACAGAUUUCCAAAGGAUCUCUAGGAUUGUCACGUGUGCUCAACAGUCCUCCUCGGCUUUCCAGAAGAGGCUGGAACAGGGCCCUUGAAGAUGUUUGUGGACAUCAGAGGGCCAAAGACGACACAAAGUGAAACUGGAGACACCGCCCCCCCUUGGCAUCAUGAAACUGCCGAUGUUACUGGCUCAUGCAUGGGAGACACCAGCAUACAAAGUCUUGACACCAACACCUCAGAGGGCUGUGUUCUGUCCCCGUGACCAUCAUCUAGUGCCUGGAAAGACUAGUGACAAGAACUUGUUGCCAACUUCCUAUUACCUCCCUAACAGUUGUGCAAUAAACCCCAUAGGUUAAUUCA
rnacentral:lncRNA from 1 species